GGGGUUGUUGCUCAGUGGUAGAGCACUUGCCUAGCAUGCAUGAUGCACUGGGUUAGAUUCCCAGCACUACA
rnacentral:tRNA from 1 species